AUUGAACGCUGGCGGCAUGCUUUACACAUGCAAGUCGGACGGCAGCACAGAGAAGCUUGCUUCUUGGGUGGCGAGUGGCGAACGGGUGAGUAACAUAUCGGAACGUACCGAGUAAUGGGGGAUAACUAAUCGAAAGAUUAGCUAAUACCGCAUAUUCUCUGAGGAGGAAAGCAGGGGACCUUCGGGCCUUGCGUUAUUCGAGCGGCCGAUAUCUGAUUAGCUAGUUGGUGGGGUAAAGGCCUACCAAGGCGACGAUCAGUAGCGGGUCUGAGAGGAUGAUCCGCCACACUGGGACUGAGACACGGCCCAGACUCCUACGGGAGGCAGCAGUGGGGAAUUUUGGACAAUGGGCGCAAGCCUGAUCCAGCCAUGCCGCGUGUCUGAAGAAGGCCUUCGGGUUGUAAGGGACUUUUGUCAGGGAAGAAAAGGCUGUUGUUAAUACCGACAGUUGAUGACG
rnacentral:rRNA from 1 species